rnacentral:rRNA from 1 species
CAGGACGACGCUGGCGGCGUGCCUAAUACAUGCAAGUCGAGCGAUGAUUGAAGAUAGCUUGCUAUUUUCAUGAAGAGCGGCGAACGGGUGAGUAACGCGUGGGAAAUCUGCCGAGUAGCGGGGGACAACGUUUGGAAACGAACGCUAAUACCGCAUAACAAUGAGAAUCGCAUGAUUCUUAUUUGAAAGAAGCAAUUGCUUCACUACUUGAUGAUCCCGCGUUGUAUUAGCUAGUUGGUAGUGUAAAGGACUACCAAGGCGAUGAUACAUAGCCGACCUGAGAGGGUGAUCGGCCACACUGGGACUGAGACACGACCCAGACUCCUACGGGAGGCAGCAGUAGGGAAUCUUCGGCAAUGGGGGCAACCCUGACCGAGCAACGCCGCGUGAGUGAAGAAGGUUUUCGGAUCGUAAAACUCUGUUGUUAGAGAAGAACGUUAAGUAGAGUGGAAAAUUACUUAAGUGACGGUAUCUAACCAGAAAGGGACGGCUAACUACGUG